rnacentral:lncRNA from 1 species
CAGUAAGUGGGAAGAAACUUCCUUUCAGAGUUCUAGGUCUCAUUUAGUUUAUAAAAGGGCACUUUGGGUACAGAUGGGUACAGAGGUCACAACACUAAAGAUUUUACUCAUGGUAAGAAUUUGAGAGAAGGAAUCUGGACUCCAGCUUAAAGGGGAAAGAUAGGUGAAAUAGUAUUAUUUAACUUAGUUGGUAUUUAUAAUAAAUGGUGAUUUUAAUUACUCAUAAUAUGUUUAUUUACAGUCUAACCCUUGAAUGCUUCUAAAUAAACCACAAUUCAAACUGAAAAAAAAAAAAAAA